rnacentral:rRNA from 1 species
GACGAACCGUGCGAACGUUAUUCGGAAUCACUGGGCUUAAAGCGCGUGUAGGCGGGCGGGAACGUCGGUUGCUGAAAGCCCCCGGCUCAACCGGGGAACGGGCGCCGAAAUGACCCGCCUCGAGGGACGUAGGGGGACCUGGAACUUCCGGUGGAGCGGUGAAAUGCGUUGAGAUCGGAAGGAACGCCCGUGGCGAAAGCGAGGUCCUGGACGUCUUCUGACGCUGAGACGCGAAAGCUAGGGGAGCGAACGGG